rnacentral:lncRNA from 1 species
ACGGCUUCCACUAGAAGUCAACAGUCUUUACAAAGUUGUUUGAAGCGUCUACGAUGAACAGAGACCGAAUGAGAAGGAGGGGAACUUGUUGAGGCAGGGGAUGACAUCACUUCUUGGCGCACGUUGAUGAGAGUGGAUCCUCCGUUCCAAAACCUUUUUCAAGACACAGGAACUGAAAUAUUACUGAAUAUUCACGUUCUGAAGGCCCUAAAGAUUGAUGUUUUACAACGUUUGACAUGUUUGAACGAACGUAAAUACAACUUUUCUUUACUUUUCAUCGCGACAUCGUCUGCGCGCUUCCUACUUUUGGAGUAGCUUACUGAACGCACGAACAACAAGGAGUUAUUUGGACAAAAAUGAUGGACUUUAUUGAACAAAACAACAUUUGUUUGAGAUUCCUGGAAGUGCCUUCUGAUGAAGAUCAUCAAAGACGGACCACGAGGCUUCAACAGUAUCAGUGGGUUGACCUGUACUGGCACUGCCUUUCUGGUCCAUCGGAAAAGAAAGAGAGCACCUGAAGAACUGGGGAAGACACGGAGCAACAGUGGCCCAAACUGACUCCACAUACCACCCGGAACCCCCCAGUAUCCAGACCCAGCAAUGGACCAGCUGCCUGAGGAGAAGAUGACGGACUGCAAGCCUUAAGACAUGAGCUCUAGGAUCAUGCCUCAGAACUACCUGGCCUGAUGACUCCUGGCUGUCCCCAGCCCACCUGGUUAUGCUGCUGCUUCAGUUUCAACUGUUCAGCCUGCGGCUAGGGAACCCUGACCUGUUCACCGGACGUGCUACCUUGUCCUGGACCUGCUGUUUUCGACUCUCUCUCUCUCUACCGCACCUGCUGUCUCGACCUCUGAAUGCUCAGCUAUGAAACGCCAACUGACAUUUACUCCUGAGGACACUGGGCAGUAUAUGAGAGGCUGAUGUUUGAUGAGUUAUGUGGCCAUCCGUUCCUGCUGGACUAACCCAAGGCUAAGAUUACAUCACACUGGACACUAACCGCCUGGGACAAGACACCACCAACAGCCACUGGAAGAUCACUGGACCGAAGGACAUCAAAUCACAUACACAUACUUAGCAGAUGUUAUUACGGGUGUAGCGAAAUUAUUAUAAAUGAUCAUCGCCCCACCUACCACCAUCCCGACGAACUCUGCACUGACCACCACGACCCCUAGCUCUCACCUCCAAUUUAAUAGAGGUAAGAAGCCACCACCUUGCAUCCAACUCUUCAUAUAGCCGUGCAAAACACUGGACAUUCCAACCACCAUGACAGCCCACCAGCUCCCAAGUACCAGAACUCUUUACACCACAACAUCAGCCCCUCACCUUUUUCCCCCAUUGCCUUGCCAUUUGACCUACCGACCUAAUGCCACCCCUUUUCUAAACCCCAGUUAAAAUAGUAUAUGUGACCGACAGCCUUGCUUCGGUCUUAUUUAGCAAAAUUUGAAAUUGUGUUUUUUACAUUGGAUGAAAGCAGCUACAAAAUGGUAUAUCACACACUGCAUUUGAGGAAAAAUGGGAAAGUAAUUCUGCUUUGAAAUUUGACAAACCUUUGAGAAAAUGGCCUUUGAAUGUUUUGGUACCUACUGGAGAGCUCUUCUUUGUCUACACCCAUUCAGCAUCGUUCACACCCUCUUAAGCUUUAGCUCCACCAAUCUCUUUAAGGGUUGAACUGACCGUUCUGUCCUAACAACAGCAGUCAAGCUAACUGGCUAAGAGUUGUCGCGGUGAAAUUCUAUUGAAAUGAAUACUUGCAUAGUAGUCUUUUGUUAAGACAUGUAGCUAGCUAAUUAACCAUAAUCUCAACUCAUGAUGUUAAUACCCUGCAUGAAUCUGCAGGUAGCUAACCAACCAGGUUCAAUGUUAGUGAGCUAACAUUAGGCUAUAACUACAUUUACAUUUUAGUCAUUUAGCAGACGCUCGUAGCCAGAGCGACUUACAGUGGUGAAUGCAUAAAUUUCUUUUUUUUUUCUU